GUGCUGCCAGCAUGUGGAGCUGAGAGCAGUGAAAGUCCAAAGGACUGGGGCACCAGAGGAGGUCACCAGGAGCUGUCAUGACUGCAGGACAUAUAUAAGCCCUGCAGGAAAGAGAAAGGGAGAAUGAUUCAUUGGUUGAUGCAAGCCUCUGUAGGUACUCAAAGAGAAGAUAAUUUCUACAUUGGUAGGAAUUCUCUGGCUUCACGGGUUCUAGUGGCCUGGGCAAGGCAGUCCCAUAGUGGCAGGCACUGGGCCUCCUGCCCUACAGCCAUAUGGUUCCACUUUCCUGCUCUCUCACAUGACAGUCUGAGUUCCCCCAGCAGAAAGAAGAGAACACUCCUUCCUGUUACAUAUGUGAUGAAAAUGGCAAGACAGCUGUGGAUCUGCAGUAAACUCCAAGCUAUGUGGCAGCUACACAGAUGGUGGUCCUCCUGCAGCCUUUGCGGUGUCUCACAGCUCCAAGAGAGCACAGACCAGCAUUUGGAAGAUGACACUUUCCCACUGCACCGAAUGCUUUACUGUUCUGCAUGAAUGAUGUACACAGUGUUGGGGUAAAUAUAUUAUUUUUCACCAGAAAUACCCCUCCAGUGCUGUGACCCUGCUUUGUUUGGAAAGAGGUAGAAGAGAGGGAAAUACAGAAUCUGCCGUCUCCCUGCUAGGCUUUCCUUUCUUCAAAGAACCAUCAGAGCAGCCCAUUACUUUCACAUAUUGCCAGUACGUUGUUGCAGGCUGGGUCUUAGGGCCCUGUCUGACCCCCAGCUUCCGCUGGCAACAAGGCCAGAUAAACAUCCUGGGGGAGAGCCACCAUCCGGGGUUUCCUGGCAGUCUCCAGCCAGGGGUAACCUUUAGGGGCAUGGGCAGGGGUUUUAGGUGACCAGCUCUUUCAGCAGCAUUUUCUGCUCUGUGAUCAGCUCUGUUCAGCCUAGCCAGCUCCUUUCGUGGUCCCCCUGCCGACGCAGACAAGAGACGGAAAGACCAUAUAACAUUCUGCAGAGUCUUUAAUGCAGGCUUCUGUGAAGGGGGCCAGUGAUGGUCUAACCCUGAACUGGGUAAAAGCUGGGGUUUUUAUAGGGAAGGGGAGGGUUGGGAAGGGAACCAAUGGUCUGAGAGGGGAUAAGUUGACCAAUAGUUAACAGGGAGAUAACAUGGGCUCCUGAAGCAGGAAGGGGUCCACAGCUUAGUCAUGAUGACUAGGCAGUUUUAUCUUAUCUUAGGGGACAGAUCUCCAGGGAGGAUGCCUGUCGGAGGACUGGGCCUCUCCACAACUCCUCUCUCUGUAUUUAGUAAAAAGCCAUUCACUAUAGCUCUUUUGAAGCAAUGAAGAAGGCAUGAGAACGUAGCUAAUACAACAAUAAUCAAUAAAAGUCCACAAAAUUCCCUUAACUAAAGAUGA
rnacentral:lncRNA from 1 species